UACGAAGGGGGCUAGCGUUGCUCGGAAUCACUGGGCGUAAAGCGCACGUAGGCGGAUCGUUAAGUCAGGGGUGAAAUCCUGGAGCUCAACUCCAGAACUGCCCUUGAUACUGGCGACCUUGAGUUCGGGAGAGGUGAGUGGAACUGCGAGUGUAGAGGUGAAAUUCGUAGAUAUUCGCAAGAACACCAGUGGCGAAGGCGGCCCACUGGCCCGAUACUGACGCUGAGGUGCGAAAGCGUGGGGAGCAAACAGG
rnacentral:rRNA from 1 species